CUGAAGGCAGUAUUCUAAGUUGAGUUUCACAAGAGCAGAGCAGAGGGGGAGAAUCAUCUCCCUUGACCUUCUGGCAACACUUAUUUUGAUGCAGCCUAGGAUAUUGUUGACUUUCUGGGCUGCAGGUGCACAUUUCCAGCUCAUGUUAAGUUUUUCAUCAACCAACACCCUCAGGUCCUUCUCUCUGAGAGGCUGCUCUCAAUCCA